rnacentral:rRNA from 1 species
UGGGGAAUAUUGCACAAUGGGGGAAACCCUGAUGCAGCGACGCCGCGUGAACGAAGAAGGUAUUCGUAUCGUAAAGUUCUGUCCUAUGGGAAGAUGAUGACAGUACCAUAGAAGAAAGCUCCGGCUAAAUACGUGCCAGCAGCCGCGGUAAUACGUAUGGAGCGAGCGUUGUCCGGAAUUAUUGGGCGUAAAGGGUACGCAGGCGGUUUAAUAAGUCGAAUGUUAAAGAUCGGGGCUCAACCCCGCAAAGCAUUGGAAACUGAUAAACUUGAGUAGUGGAGAGGAAAGUGGAAUUCCUAGUGUAGUGGUGAAAUACGUAGAUAUUAGGAGGAAUACCAGUAGCGAAGGCGACUUUCUGGACACAAACUGACGCUGAGGUACGAAAGCGUGGGGAGCAAACAGG